rnacentral:tRNA from 1 species
CGGGAUAUGGCGCAGCUUGGUAGCGCGCUUGACUGGGGGUCAAGGGGUCGCAGGUUCAAAUCCUGUCAGUCCGACCA